AGAGUUUGAUUCUGGCUCAGGAUGAACGCUAGCUACAGGCUUAACACAUGCAGGUCGAGGGGUAGCAGGGUAGCAAUACCGCUGACGACCGGCGCACGGGUGAGUAACACGUAUCCAACCUUCCCAUAACUCAGGGAUAGCCUUUCGAAAGAAAGAUUAAUACCUGAUAGUACUUUUUCAAGGCAUCUUGAGAAAGUUAAAGAUUUAUUGGUUAUGGAUGGGGAUGCGUUCCAUUAGAUAGUUGGUGAGGUAACGGCUCACCAAGUCUUCGAUGGAUAGGGGUUCUGAGAGGAAGGUCCCCCACAUUGGUACUGAGACACGGACCAAACUCCUACGGGAGGCAGCAGUGAGGAAUAUUGGUCAAUGGGCGAGAGCCUGAACCAGCCAAGUAGCGUGAAGGAUGAAGGUCCUAUGGAUUGUAAACUUCUUUUAUAGUAGAAUAAAGUGAUCCACGUGUGGAUUUUUGUAUGUAUACUAUGAAUAAGGAUCGGCUAACUCCGUGCCAGCAGCCGC
rnacentral:rRNA from 1 species